CAGCAGCCGCGGUAAUACGUAGGGUGCAAGCGUUAAUCGGAAUUACUGGGCGUAAAGCGUGCGCAGGCGGUUCGGAAAGAAAGAUGUGAAAUCCCAGAGCUUAACUUUGGAACUGCAUUUUUAACUACCGGGCUAGAGUGUGUCAGAGGGAGGUGGAAUUCCGCGUGUAGCAGUGAAAUGCGUAGAUAUGCGGAGGAACACCGAUGGCGAAGGCAGCCUCCUGGGAUAACACUGACGCUCAUGCACGAAAGCGUGGGGAGCAAACAGGAUUAGAUACCCUGGUAGUCCACGCCCUAAACGAUGUCAACUAGCUGUUGGGGCCUUCGGGCCUUGGUAGCGCAGCUAACGCGUGAAGUUGACCGCCUGGGGAGUACGGUCGCAAGAUUAAAACUUAAAGGAAUUGGCGGG
rnacentral:rRNA from 1 species